AGAGUUUGAUCAUGGCUCAGGAUGAACGCUAGCUACAGGCUUAACACAUGCAAGUCGAGGGGCAGCAUGUUGGUUGCUUGCAACCAACGAUGGCGACCGGCGCACGGGUGAGUAACGCGUAUCCAACCUACCCUUGUCCAUCGGAUAACCCGUCGAAAGGCGGCCUAACACGAUAUGCGGUUCACAGCAGGCAUCUAACGUGAACGAAAUGUAAAGGAGAAGGAUGGGGAUGCGUCUGAUUAGCUUGUUGGCGGGGUAACGGCCACAAGGCUACGAUCAGUAGGGGUUCUGAGAGGAAGGUCCCCCCANAUUGGAACUGAGACACGGUCCAAACUCCGUACGGGAGGCA
rnacentral:rRNA from 1 species